GAAAGCCAUUUCCCUGACUUUGUGCAAAAUUUGGUGACUGGACUAUCUCGGAAAUUGCAUUGUUAGGUUUUUGGACUACUUUCAAUUGUCAUUAAGUCUUCUAAUGCUUGUGAGGUUGGGGGCAGUCUUGGUAACUAAGGUUUUUCCUGCAGGUACCAUGAUUGGCUUUUGCUUAUUCAUUUCCCUAGUUGCUGUAAACAUGGUUUGUUUGACUUUUGAUCUAGUACAGAAAGUAGCACGUAGCUUGCAUUUUUAUUUUUAAGAGGAUUGACCUAUUCAUUAUCGGAUGUUUGUUAGACUAGUAUUCCCCAAAGUUCCUAUGAUGGCUUUGCUUUUCUGCGGAAGCCUGUCCUGUUAUGUGAGAAUUGUGUGGUGAUGAAAUUUUCUUUAGAACUCAUUUCUUGGUCUUAUUGUAUGUUUUCUUGUACUGAUUAGAUCCUUAUGAAUAUAAGUGGUACAAUUUUCUGUUUAUGUAAUGCAAAAUAUAGUUUUUUUUUCUGGUUCAUUUGUGGGCCAACAUAAAAUCAUUUUUGAAUUUUAGACCUUCAUUGUCAGUUACAUGGUGGCCU
rnacentral:misc_RNA from 1 species